rnacentral:rRNA from 1 species
GGAUUGNCANUGGGCGCAGCCUGAUGCAGCGACGCCGCGUGGGGGAUGACGGCCUUCGGGUUGUAAACCUCUUUCACCAUCGACGAAGGUCCGGGUUUUCUCGGAUUGACGGUAGGUGGAGAAGAAGCACCGGCCAACUACGUGCCAGCAGCCGCGGUAAUACGUAGGGUGCGAGCGUUGUCCGGAAUUACUGGGCGUAAAGAGCUCGUAGGUGGUUUGUCGCGUUGUUCGUGAAAACUCACGGCUUAACUGUGAGCGUGCGGGCGAUACGGGCAGACUGGAGUACUGCAGGGGAGACUGGAAUUCCUGGUGUAGCGGUGGAAUGCGCAGAUAUCAGGAGGAACACCGGUGGCGAAGGCGGGUCUCUGGGCAGUAACUGACGCUGAGGAGCGAAAGCGUGGGGAGCGAACAGGAUUAGAUACCCUGGUAGUCCACGCCGUAAACGGUGGGUACUAGGUGUGGGUUUCCUUCCUUGGGAUCCGUGCCGUAGCUAACGCAUUAAGUACCCCGCCUGGGGAGUACGGCCGCAAGGCUAAAACUCAAAGGAAUUGACGGA